GCCAGAGUGGCGAAAUUGGUAGACGCAGUGGAUUCAAAAUCCACCGGUGGCAACACUGUGCCGGUUCGAGUCCGGCCUCUGGUACCA
rnacentral:tRNA from 2 species